rnacentral:rRNA from 1 species
CCCUCUCGGGUUACCGAAUUCAGACAAACUCCGAAUGCCAAUUAAUUUAACUUGGGAGUCAGAACAUGGGUGAUAAGGUCCGUGUUCGAAAGGGAAACAGCCCAGACCACCAGCUAAGGUCCCAAAAUAUAUGUUAAGUGGAAAAGGAUGUGGCGUUGCCCAGACAACUAGGAUGUUGGCUUAGAAGCAGCCAUCAUUUAAAGAGUGCGUAAUAGCUCACUAGUCGAGUGACACUGCGCCGAAAAUGUACCGGGGCUAAACAUAUUACCGAAGCUGUGGAUUGUCCUUUGGACAAUGGUAGGAGAGCGUUCUAAGGGCGUUGAAGCAUGAUCGUAAGGACAUGUGGAGCGCUUAGAAGUGAGAAUGCCGGUGUGAGUAGCGAAAGACGGGUGAGAAUCCCGUCCACCGAUUGACUAAGGUUUCCAGAGGAAGGCUCGUCCGCUCUGGGUUAGUCGGGUCCUAAGCUGAGGCCGACAGGCGUAGGCGAUGGAUAACAGGUUGAUAUUCCUGUACCACCUAUAAUCGUUUUAAUCGAUGGGGGGACGCAGUAGGAUAGGCGAAGCGUGCGAUUGGAUUGCACGUCUAAGCAGUAAGGCUGAGUAUUAGGCAAAU